rnacentral:rRNA from 1 species
UACAGAGGUCUCAAGCGUUGUUCGGAUUCAUUGGGCGUAAAGGGUGCGUAGGUGGCGCCGUAAGUCGGGUGUGAAAUUCCGGAGCUUAACUCCGAAACUGCAUUCGAUACUGCGGUGCUUGAGGACUGGAGAGGAGACUGGAAUUCAUGGUGUAGCAGUGAAAUGCGUAGAGAUCAUGAGGAAGACCAGUGGCGAAGGCGGGUCUCUGGACAGUUCCUGACACUGAGGCACGAAGGCCAGGGGAGCAAACAGG